AGUACCGUGAGGGAAAGGUGAAAAGCACCCCGGAAGGGGAGUGAAACAGUUCCUGAAACCGUGUGCCUACAAGUAGUUAGAGCCCGUUAAUGGGUGAUAGCGUGCCUUUUGUAGAAUGAACCGGCGAGUUACGAUUUGUUGCAAGGUUAAGCGGAAAAAGCGGAGCCGUAGCGAAAGCGAGUCUGAAUAGGGCGCAUAAGUAACAGGUCGUAGACCCGAAACCAGGUGAUCUACCCAUGUCCAGGAUGAAGGUAAGGUAAUACUUACUGGAGGUCCGAACCCACGCACGUUGAAAAGUGCGGGGAUGAGGUGUGGGUAGCGGAGAAAUUCCAAUCGAACUUGGAGAUAGCUGGUUCUCUCCGAAAUAGCUUUAGGGCUAGCCUCGAGGUAAAGAGUCAUGGAGGUAGAGCACUGUUUGGACUAGGGGCCCUUCUCGGGUUACCGAAUUCAGAUAAACUCCGAAUGCCAUGUACUUAUACUCGGGAGUCAGACUGCGAGUGAUAAGAUCCGUAGUCGAAAGGGAAACAGCCCAGACCACCAGUUAAGGUCCCCAAAUAUAUGUUAAGUGGAAAAGGAUGUGGGGUUGCUUAGACAACCAGGAUGUUGGCUUAGAAGCAGCCACCAUUGAAAGAGUGCGUAAUAGCUCACUGGUCGAGUGACCCCGCGCCGAAAAUGUACCGGGGCUAAACAUAUUACCGAAACUGUGGAUGAACCUCUUUAGAGGUUCGUGGUAGGAGAGCGUUCUAAGGGCGGUGAAGUCAGACCGGAAGGACUGGUGGAGCGCUUAGAAGUGAGAAUGCCGGUAUGAGUAGCGAAAGAAGGGUGAGAAUCCCUUCCACCGAAUAUCUAAGGUUUCCUGAGGAAGGCUCGUCCGCUCAGGGUUAGUCGGGACCUAAGCCGAGGCCGAUAGGCGUAGGCGAUGGACAACAGGUAGAGAUUCCUGUACCAGUGCUAAUUGUUUAACCGAUGGGGUGACACAGAAGGAUAGGGAAUCGCACGAAUGGAAAUGUGCGUCCAAGCAGUGAGUGUGAGAAGUAGGCAAAUCCGCUUCUCGCGAAGCAUGAGCUGUGAUGGGGAAGGAAAUUAAGUACGGAAGUUCCUGAUUUCACGCUGUCAAGAAAAGCCUCUAGGAAGAGUAGUACUGCCCGUACCGCAAACCGACACAGGUAGAUGAGGAGAGAAUCCUAAGGUGAGCGAGAGAACUCUCGUUAAGGAACUCGGCAAAAUGACCCCGUAACUUCGGGAGAAGGGGUGCUCUAUUAGGGUGCAAGCCCGAGAGAGCCGCAGUGAAUAGGCCCAGGCGACUGUUUAGCAAAAACACAGGUCUCUGCAAAACCGUAAGGUGACGUAUAGGGGCUGACGCCUGCCCGGUGCUGGAAGGUUAAGAGGAGUGCUUAGCUUCGGCGAAGGUACGAAUUGAAGCCCCAGUAAACGGCGGCCGUAACUAUAACGGUCCUAAGGUAGCGAAAUUCCUUGUCGGGUAAGUUCCGACCCGCACGAAAGGCGCAACGAUCUGGGCACUGUCUCAACGAGAGACUCGGUGAAAUUAUAGUACCUGUGAAGAUGCAGGUUACCCGCGACAGGACGGAAAGACCCCGUGGAGCUUUACUGCAACCUGAUAUGGAAUGUUUGUACCGCUUGUACAGGAUAGGUAGGAGCCGAAGAGACGUGUGCGCUAGCAUACGAGGAGGCAAUGGUGGGAUACUACCCUGGCUGUAUGACCAUUCUAACCCGCCACGCUUAGCGCGUGGGGAGACAGUGUCAGGUGGGCAGUUUGACUGGGGCGGUCGCCUCCUAAAGAGUAACGGAGGCGCCCAAAGGUUCCCUCAGAAUGGAUGGAAAUCAUUCGCAGAGUGUAAAGGCACAAGGGAGCUUGACUGCGAGACUGACAAGUCGAGCAGGGACGAAAGUCGGGCUUAGUGAUCCGGUGGUUCCGCAUGGAAGGGCCAUCGCUCAACGGAUAAAAGCUACCCCGGGGAUAACAGGCUUAUCUCCCCCAAGAGUCCACAUCGACGGGGAGGUUUGGCACCUCGAUGUCGGCUCGUCGCAUCCUGGGGCUGUAGUCGGUCCCAAGGGUUGGGCUGUUCGCCCAUUAAAGCGGCACGCGAGCUGGGUUCAGAACGUCGUGAGACAGUUCGGUCCCUAUCCGUCGCGGGCGCAGGAAAUUUGAGAGGAGCUGUCCUUAGUACGAGAGGACCGGGAUGGACACACCGCUGGUGUACCAGUUGUUCCGCCAGGAGCAUCGCUGGGUAGCUAUGUGUGGCAGGGAUAAACGCUGAAAGCAUCUAAGCGUGAAGCCCCCCUCAAGAUGAGAUUUCCCAUUUCUUCGGAAAGUAAGAUCCCUGAAAGAUGAUCAGGUAGAUAGGUUUGGAGUGGAAGUGUAGCGAUACAUGGAGCGGACAAAUACUAAUCGAUCGAGGACUUAACCAA
rnacentral:rRNA from 1 species